rnacentral:lncRNA from 1 species
UGCCGACAGUUUUAACAAUAUACCACGAGUAUAUGACGCAGAGCACAGGAUCCAAGAGCUCCGGAACGCUCGGUUGCAGAAACACAUACAGGACGAGCUGCAGCUGCAAGCGACCCAAGGACAGAUGCGUUGCUCUGGCACGUGCCAUGUCAUAGGCUCAAAGCAAGCAAAGGUAUGUUGCACGAAAAGUGAAAGGGGGCAGUGCAGAGGGCAGACUAGCAGAGUCGCAGUGCCCUACUGCCGUCGUUCUCCAGGCACGUCCCAUGUCGAAGGCUCGAUCCGCGAGAACGUCGGUGCCGCAGUCUCGGAAAAGAACCAUAUCCUCUAUCGGUGUGGCACUUGCAGUUGCAGGCGGACCACCUGUCGUCAGAGUUCAGUUCAGACAACCAUCGUGGAUUCAUCAUGUACUACACUACUACUAGUUCCCAAGCUCAUCAUAUGCAGAAAUGCAGGGUGUUUUCUGACCUAAUUUAACUGCAGAGCUAGCUGAUAGCUCCAACUGUCGGUGCCAUCUGCAAAAAGAAGAUGCAAAAAAAAAAGGUUAAGCAACCUACGUUUUGGAAGAAGAAAAAUACAGUUUCGACGAUGAAGAGUACCUAUGGCUUUAUCGUGGGAAAGCGCAAUGCAGGCAUUAGUACAAUUCCUACUAAAAGAUACUAAGACAACCGUUUCAUCUCAUGCCAACUUUUAUCAGUUUUCCUGCUUUGUCUUGCACUGUUCGAGAUCUCGGUGACAGCGGCACCUUUGAGACUACUUGCUUGACCUUUGAUGCUUAUGGCUUAUCCUCCUUUCCUUUUAACUACUUCAUUUUUUGUCCUUUUCAUCAUGACUGAUGUGUCAUGCACUGCAGACUACAGAAAUGACUAGGGCACUAGGCAACUGUGGCUGGAUU